CAAAUACUCCCUCCGUCCGGAAAUACUUGUCAUCAAAAUGGAUAAAAGGAAAUGUAUCUAGACAUAUUUUAGUUUUAGAUACAUCUCUUUUUAUCCAUUUUGAUGACAAGUAUUUUUGGACGGAGGGAGUAGAAA
rfam:Triticum urartu cultivar G1812 contig427248, whole genome shotgun sequence.